AUAUAAUAAAUGAAAGUGAUUUGGGCCACGCGUCACUUAAUUAGGGCAUCCUCAGUUCUGGUUUCCCGUCCAACAGUACCACACUUCCAUCCCUUUUAUACUCCAUCCGUCUCCUUUUUUUUCCUUUUCCAAACCCUAGAUCUGAAUCUUCUUCUCCUUCUCCUUCUCCUGUACUCUUCUGCCUUCUUAAUCAAAGAUCAAACCAAAUCAUCUCAUCAUGAAUCAUUCAACCUUUGUAAUUUUCAUGUCUGACUAUACCAUGAAGAGGUAAUAUCUGGCUUUUGUAAUUAUCAUCCCGAGCUAUAGUUGGGAAGAUUCUUUCAUCUUCUGCGUCGGCUAGGUUCUUCCAUUUGAGGGUUGUUGUCAUCGAUGGUCAUCAAAUUUGAAAUCCGCUUACCUGCGGAUAGAUUUCCGCCAUGAACUGGGUUUCAUUUGCUUGAGAUUUGAAUCUUCCGAUUGUUGAAGCCUUUGAAGCCGAUCCUUUUAAAUUUCCAGUUCCCGAGGUAUUAUCUGUUUGUAACAGCAGUGGUUCAGCAUCUACAGUGGAUUCAACAUCAGAUAGUUCAUCAUUGAAGAUGCAGUUGAAGGGAUCAUUUGAGUGAAAUGAAUGUUGAUUUUAUCAGAAGAUGCAGUUGAAGGUAUCUUAAAUAAGGGAUAUAAUGCAAUUAUUCCUCUCAAUCAAAUAGACCGACCCUUGCUUCCUCUCAAAGUGUUAUGGAAUGGUUAUAACAGUUGUUCAUGCUAAGGACUGUUAUAAGUAACCACUGCUCCUUAUAAAGACUAAUGGACUUAAAGACUGAUGAGGCCUAUCCACUGUUGAAGACAAAUCCCUGUUAAAGUUCCAUGUGCUAAGGACUAUUAUAACUAACCACUGCUCCUUUAUAUAAUCAUCGUUCCAGUAUCAUUGUUCCAACAUCGUCGUUUCAAUGAAGCUUCCCAUCACACAUCAACCUUUCAAUAUCGAUGUUGCAGUAUAAUUGUUGCAACAUCGUGAAAAGUUGAAUGUGCUACCUUCUUUGAUGGGAGAGUUGUAAGUUGAACGGACGAUAUGUAUCUAUCCCUCAAAUCUCUUCUUCUCAAUACUCGGCAUUUGUUCAUAAAGGAUAACAGAAAACUGAAGCUCUCUCUAACCCAUUUUCAGAAAAAAAUUUUGUUGAUAUGCUUGGUUUUAAAAAGCGCGCCCUAGGCGCGCCUAGGCGCAAGGCGCAACAAGGCGCAGGGUCUGGGGCUUUUUUGCUUCUCGCCUUAUGUUUUUACAGGAAGCGAACAAAAAGCGCAAAUUUUGAUGUUUUUUGUGGGCUUUUUGACCUGAGGCGCGUGCCUUAUGUACCUUAGGCAUUUUACUGCAUAAAAAUGUUGUACCUUGGGUUUUUUGAAUUGUACAUGUAAUUAAAAUGGUAUAAAAGCCUUACUUAUAGCUAUAUUUUGGUUAAAGGAAGCUAAAAACCUAUGGGAUAUGUAUGGGAUAUAUAAUAAAAAUUAUAUAAACAUCUUGCGCCUCGGGUACGAAAAGCCCACCGCUUUUGCGCUUUGCGCUUCGCGCCUCAAUUUUAGACCUCGUCGCUUUUGUGCGCCUCUCGCUUUUUAAAACCAAGUUGAUAUGUGGUUUCCCUUGAUAAUGGUAUGUGUUUUUGUUUUUGAUUUUUACUGAAGUUUUGUUACUUGAGUUGUGACUAAAUGAUGAUUGUGAAUGAUCUGCUGCAGAUGAUGAUGAUUGUUCUACGGUUGUUUCCAGUAUCAUUGUUCCAACAUCGUUUAAAGUAUGU